GAUGAAGAACGUAGUAAAAUGCGAUACUUGGUGUGAAUUGCAGAAUCCCGUGAACCAUCGAGUUUUUGAACGCAAGUUGCGCCCGAAGCCUUUUGGCCGAGGGCACGUCUGCCUGGGCGUCACGCAUCGCGUCGCCCCCCACAAUUCUCCGUAAAGGGAACAUGUGUUUUGGGGGCGGAUAUUGGUCUCCCGUGCUCAUGGCGUGGUUGGCCGAAAUAGGAGUCCUUUCGAUGGACGCACGAACUAGUGGUGGUCGUAAAAACCCUCGUCUUUUGUUUCGUGCUGUUGGUCGCAAGGUAAACUUUUUAAAAACCCCAAUGUGUCGUCUCUUGACGACGCUUCGACCGCGACCCCAGGUCAGGCGGGACUACCCGCUGAGUUUAAGCAUAUCAAUAAGCGGAGGA
rnacentral:misc_RNA from 1 species